rnacentral:rRNA from 1 species
AGUGAACGCUGGCGGUAGGCCUAACACAUGCAAGUCGAACGGCAGCACAGAGGAGCUUGCUCCUUGGGUGGCGAGUGGCGGACGGGUGAGGAAUACAUCAGAAUCUACUCUGUCGUGGGGGAUAACGUAGGGAAACUUACGCUAAUACCGCAUACGACCUACGGGUGAAAGCAGGGGACCUUCGGGCCUUGCGCGAUUGAAUGAGCCGAUGUCGGAUUAGCUAGUUGGCGGGGUAAAGGCCCACCAAGGCGACGAUCCGUAGCUGGUCUGGGAGGAUGAUCAGCCACACUGGAACUAGGACACGGUCCAGACUCCUACGGGAGGCAGCAGUGGGGAAUAUUGGACAAUGGGCGCAAGCCUGAUCCAGCCAUACCGCGUGGGUGAAGAAGGCCUUCGGGUUGUAAAGCCCUUUUGUUGGGAAAGAAAUCCAGCUGGCUAAUACCCGGUUGGGAUGACGGUACCCAAAGAAUAAGCACCGGCUAACUUCGUGCCAGCCGCCGCGGUAA